GCCAAAUAUAAAUUACUUUUGGGUUAAAGCACGCCAGGAAUUCCACUGUGUUAGCUGAUGUAAUUAAGAGUGACUGUCAUUCCAAUUGCUGUCACUAUCUAUUUUUCUUAAUUGUUUGGACACUUGCCCCCCACAUCCUCCCUGCACACUCCCAGCCUAUGUAUAGUUUGAAAGCGUUGCCAUGAUCUCACUCAUUUUGGGGACAGGUUGGGCUGGUUUUUCUGCAUUUCGCCCCUUCCUCUCCAUCCAUUCUCUGCCCUUCUCAAUGUGCUAUGGGUUGCAGGCUGACCACCUGGGCUCCUCCUGCCCUCUGGAUUCCGAUUGAGUCUGAACAGUGGAAAGAACCAGCAAAGGAGAGGAGGGCAGGAAAAGAGAGAAACCCACAAGAGCCUGGCCUUCCAGGGGUUCUUGAUUUCUGUUAUGGCUACAGAUCUUCCUGGGCUCUCAGCUCUCACUCUCUUGGAUAACAGCACACAUGUCAGAUCUAAGGGAUGCCAUGACUUCUUACUGUUGCUAGUCCCCAGAUGCCUCAACACCCCUGGCUGGGUCCCUGAGCCCUGAAACUCAUCUCUUC
rnacentral:lncRNA from 1 species